UACAGAGGGUGCAAGCGUUGUUCGGAAUUAUUGGGCGUAAAGAGCGCGCAGGCGGUCGUUCAAGUCGCGUGUGAAAGCCCCCGGCUCAACUGGGGAGGGUCACGCGAUACUGAUCGACUCGAAGGCAGGAGAGGGUAGUGGAAUUCCCGGUGUAGUGGUGAAAUGCGUAGAUAUCGGGAGGAACACCAGUGGCGAAGGCGACUACCUGGCCUGUUCUUGACGCUGAGGCGCGAAAGCUAGGGGAGCAAACGGG
rnacentral:rRNA from 1 species